rnacentral:rRNA from 1 species
AUUGAACGCUGGCGGCAGGCCUAACACAUGCAAGUCGAACGAGUGGCGGACGGGUGAGUAAUGUCUGGUCAACUGCCUGAUGGAGGGGGAUCACUACUGGAAACGGUAGCUAAUACCGCAUACCAUCAUAUGUGCCCAGAUGGGAUUAGCUAGUUUGUGGGGUAACGGCUCACCAAGGGGACGAUCCCUAGCUGGUCUGAGAGGAGGACCAGCCACACUGGAACGGAGACACGGUCCAGACUCCUACGGGAGGAAGCAGUGGGGAAUAUUGGACAAUGGGCGCAAGCCUGAUGCAGCCAUGCCGCGUGUAGGAAGAAGGCCUUCGGGUUGUAAAGUACGUUCAGCGGGGAGGCGUUACCGGCAGAAGAAGCACCGGCUAACUCCGUGCCAGCAGCCGCGGUAAUAC